UGAACUAUAGGAGUAGCCUCUU
rnacentral:miRNA from 1 species